UACGUAGGUGGCAAGCGUUACUCGGAAUCACUAGGCGUAAAGCGCAGGUAGGCGGUUCGGUAAGUCUUUUGUGAAAGCUCCCGGCUCAACUGGGAGAGGUCAAGGGAAACUACCGAGCUAGAGUGUGGCAGAGGAAGCUGGAAUUCCCGGUGUAGCGGUGAAAUGCGUAGAGAUCGGGAGGAAUACCUAUGGCGAAAGCAGGCUUCUGGGCCAAUCACUGACACUGGAUCUGCGAAAGCUAGGGGAGCAAACAGG
rnacentral:rRNA from 1 species